CUGCAAGUUCGUUAUGACAUUUAGUUUCAAUUUCUUUUAUGAAAUAAUGAAAAUUGGUUCACUACUUAUGUCAGUGAUGAAUUCUUUAUGUGUUCUCUAUGGAUGCAUACGUAGUAAACAUUGAUGAGUCCAUAUUAUACCAUAUAUUUUACCCUAUUCUUAGUUAGUUUAUUGGUUAUUUUGGUAGAAUUUUGAUACUUUGUUAUAUAUUUUCAAUGUAUGAUAUUCGACUUCCUUUGGAGUAAAAAGCAAUCAAACGGAUGAAUUUUAGAGUGAUUGCAAUUGGAGGAUGUUUGUAAGUCUUUCAAAAUGAUUGUAUCAAAAUUUCAGAUUUUUCUACCAAGCCGUUUAACCGUGGUGAUGAAAUUAAGGCCCAGUGUGCAGCUUUCCCAGAUUGAUGUUUUUGGACAUUUUGGGCAUUUUGGAGGUCAAGAUGGCAUAUUUUGAUAGGAGGAUAUUUAUGCGACUUUAUUAUCUUAUUUCUUUGCAUUUACUUAGUUAAUUUCCAUUUAUUUUGGUGAUUUAUGUUAUUUUCGUAUUAUUGUAGGUCCGAUUGGGAAAGAUGACAAUAAAUGGCAAAAUGGAGCAAUUUGGAGCAGUUUUGGACUUGGAUUGGACAUCAAGCUUGGAUAGCAUAUGGGCUAACGUUUUUGGUGUUUAAAUGGUGCUAGAUAUGUGCCAAAAUCUGGAGGAAUUAAAGUUGAGGCUUGGAAGAUAAGGAAUUAGACAAGAAAGAGCAACCUUAUCCAAUCUUAUCUUAUCCAACCUUAACUUAUCCUAUCUUAUCCAAUCUUACCUUAUCUUAUCUCCAGCCGCAAAGAGGAAUCCUUAUCACAUUCUAACAUUUCCUAUCUGAUUCUAGGAGUCCUAAAAUAAUUCAAAUGAUCUAAUCUUUUUACUCCUAGGGUUAGUCGUGCCUUUGCCCUAUAAAAACAAAUUGUGCUGCAAAUAUUAAGGGGGGAGAAAAGAGUGCCGCAACCUGCAUCCAGUGAUGAGUGUACCUCCAAUCAUCCAUUGAAGUAACUGGAGUUUUCUAGGUUCUUUCUAUCUUUAUUUUGAGUUUUCUGGGUUUUUUCUAUCUUUAUUUUAAGUUUCAAUGUUUAUUUUAGAUUGUUUUUUAGUUAUGAUGAACAUGUGUAACUAAGUUUCUUUUUAGCUAGAGGUAAAUUGGAAGUCAUGAUCAUAUGUUUUAUAUAAAUUGAUUACAUCCAGUUAUUGUUUCAUAAAACAUGAAUGCGAUUUACUUAUCUGCUUUAUAGAAAACUUAUUCUUGUAUGUUUAUUAAGGGUGCACACUUAGUUUGCAUGCAGGGAUUUGAUGCUAGAAUAUA
rnacentral:lncRNA from 1 species